rnacentral:lncRNA from 1 species
UCUAAUUGAAAAAAAUAAAAUGUCAAUUUGGUAUGAUAUAUAUGAUAUAAUAAAUAAAUAUCUACAAACAUUAUCUCAUAUAUACGUACAAUUUUAAACUAUCCUUGACAAAUAUGAUAUAUAAGUUUGGAUAACCGGUUGAAAAAAAAAAUUGGUAGUUAUAUUUAAUUCUUAAAAUCUCAAAAUAUUGAACAAAAUUCAACUUUGGGACAUAUAAAUCUCUACUUUUGGACGAUUAUAUGAAAUUUUACAUAUAUUAAAAUUAUAUUUAGUUACAUGUAAAUGGUGUUAUU